rnacentral:ribozyme from 13 species
UUUUUUUUUUUUUUUUUUUUUUACACGUCUCCCCUAAUUGGCG